GUGAGGAAUAUUGCGCAAUGGAGGCAACUCUGACGCAGCCAUGCCGCGUGCAGGAAGAAGGCGCUACGCGUUGUAAACUGCUUUUAACCGGGAAGAAACCCCAGGACGUGUCCUGGGUUGACGGUACCGGAGGAAUAAGCACCGGCUAACUUCGUGCCAGCAGCCGCGGUAAUACGAAGGGUGCAAGCGUUAUCCGGAUUCAUUGGGUUUAAAGGGUGCGUAGGCGGAGCGUUAAGUCAGUGGUGAAAUCCUGCAGCUUAACUGUAGACUUGCCAUUGAUACUGGGGCUCUUGAGUGCGCUUGAAGUGGGCGGAAUGUGCCGUGUAGCGGUGAAAUGCUUAGAUAUGGCACAGAACACCAAUUGCGAAGGCAGCUCACUAAGGCGAUACUGACGCUGAGGCACGAAAGCGUGGGGAUCGAACAGGAUUAGAAACCCUAGUAGUCC
rnacentral:rRNA from 1 species